UACGGGGGGGAGCAAGCGUUGUUCGGAUUUACUGGGCGUAAAGGGCGCGUAGGCGGCGCAACAAGUCACUUGUGAAAUCUCCGGGCUUAACCCGGAGCGGUCAAGUGAUACUGUCGUGCUAGAGUGCGGAAGGGGCUACUGGAAUUCUCGGUGUAGCGGUGAAAUGCGUAGAUAUCUGGAGGAACACCGGUGGCGAAGGCGGCAUCCUGGACCGGCAUUGACGCUGAGGCGGCGAAAAGCUAGGGGGAGCAAACGGG
rnacentral:rRNA from 1 species